GACAGAGGGUGCAACGUUGUUCGGAAUUACUGGGCGUAAAGCGCGUGUAGGCGGCCCGUUAAGUGGGGUGUGAAAGCCCGGGGCUCAACCCCGGGACGCCGCUUCAAACUGGCGGGCUUGAGGACGGAAGAGGGGAGUGGAAUUCCUGGUGUAGCGGUGAAAUGCGUAGAGAUCAGGAGGAACACCCGGUGGCGAAGGCGGCUCCCUGGUCCGUCCCUGACGCUGAGACGGCGAAAGCGCGGGGAGCGAACGGG
rnacentral:rRNA from 1 species